ensembl:lncRNA
CAACUCCAUGUCUUACCUGCCCUCCUGAUUAACUAUGGAACAGGUUUCAUGCAUUAUUUGGUCAUCGUUCUGGUCUCUAUUAUAUCCUGCAAAUUCAGAAAUGUCCAAUCAGAGAUGGAGUAGUUGUGGAUCAUGCUGAUAUGAAUAUGUAUGCACCAAUUUAGAAGAAACUGACAGACUUGUAGUGAGUGGCCCCAUACUUUGUCUUUAAAGAAACUAUCUGGCUUGGCUUUAUGAUGCUUCAUAAAAAAUUGCUUUGAUCUGGUGAAUUCCCAUCAUGGAUUCUUCUGGGCAGAAGUAGGAUGCAGUAACACAGCCUUCCUUCCCAGGAUGCCAUAUCCUUGCCUACAUUCCCACGGGACAUUGCCUGUUGUGCCUUUCCUAAUGCCAGAAGAUUGGUGAACAAUCACAUUACUGCAUGUCAUAUCAGAGCUCUCAUAUGGUGCUAGUUCCCCUCUCUAACAAGGACAAACAGCCAUGACCCAAGCCCUACUGUACUUAUCAGCCCACAGGGCACAGCCAGGGCAGCUUCUGUGGAGUUACCCAAGAGCAUGCUCCGUGUAAUAGUAUUUCAGUGUAGACCAUCACUCCCACCCUCCGGUUCCUCUGCAUCAAAGCAGUCCUCCAACCCCCCAUAAAAGGACUUUAGCCUUUUGGAGGGGAAUUGGGCAAAUUCGUCCAUGUCAUCCACCACAGCUCAGAUGCAAGAUAUUUGUCGGUAUUUGGGGAUGAAGAGAUGGACACCUCUCUUCUGAAAUCCCAUCCACCACUUCCUCACGUCUGGCAAAGCCAAGUCUGAACCAGGACAGCGCCUGAGAAACACGAAUGUGCUCCCAAGAGCUUUACUCCUUUCAGCUAACUGCCUCCUGUCCCUUCACACUGGCUCCUCCCUCCUGUGCCCUGCUCUGUCAUCCUACCAGGAAGUCAUGAUCUUGCUGUGGCCCAAACGUCUAGGGGCAAGAGAAGGCUGGGAAAAUGCAACUUUGAAGCAGCUGUGAGCCAGCUGUGAGCCAGGACCUCAGUGAAACUCAUGGAAGCCAGGACCAUUACCCCUCACCUGACAGAGGGUCAUGUAGGAGGCGCUCCGCUGGCGCGUCCCCGCCAGCCCACUGUUCCCCGUAGUCGUGCUCCUGGAGUUUUUCAGUGUGCUCCUGGGUCACGAGGUUCCCUUGAUGGUCGCUGAUGGGACAGAAGAAGGGAUUAGAAUGGAAAUGGCCUGGUGAUAGUGGUGAGCACUUUGAGGCAGAUAGAUUUCUGUGAGACUUUGCCCACAAGGCCUUCCAGGUUUGACACAGCUCAUUUCCUGAUGGACAGUGGCCUCUUCUUUUCCUAUUCUAUUUGGCAUGGAACGGCCCGGGGAACACAUGCUCCUGAGCUAUUUAAAGACACCAACAUCACGGGCUUCCCAUCACCUUUCUGUUCCUGUUAGGACAGGAGCUGUGGACCUUGAAGCAACCCAGUGAAAUCAUGCCUGCGGUCUUCUCACCAGCACUCGGCUUGUGAGCAAUGAGCUCCGCCGGCCUGCACACCUCCACGAGCUCAUCUCGGAGGCCCUGCCCCUGGUCACUCUGAGGGUCAUCCAACUCGAGGGGGUUGGUGAGAAGGUCACUGGGGUGAAUGGACAGUUCUCGG